AUAAAAAUCAACUUUGUUGGUGAAUCAUAAUAACUUCUCGGACCGCAUGGCCUCGUGCUGGCGGUGCUUCAUUCAAAUAUCUGCCCUAUCAACUGUCGAUGGUAGGAUAGAGGCCUACCAUGGUUGCAACGGGUAACGGGGAAUAAGGGUUCGAUUCCGGAGAGGGAGCCUGAGAAACGGCUACCACAUCCAUGGAAGGCAGCAGGCGCGCAAAUUACCCAAUCCCAACACGGGGAGGUAGUGACAAUAUGUAACAAUAUACGGCCUUAUACGUCGUAUAAUUGGAAUGAGUACAAUUUAAAUCCCUUAACGAGGAACAAUUGGAGGGCAAGUCUGGUGCCAGCAGCCGCGGUAAUUCCAGCUCCAAUAGCGUAUAUUAAAGUUGUUGCAGUUAAAAAGCUCGUAGUUGGACCUUGGACCUGGACAGGCGGUCCGCCUCACGGCGAGUACUGUCUUGCUGGGUCUUUCCUCUUGGUGAUCUGUUGUUUCGGCAG
rnacentral:rRNA from 1 species